rnacentral:rRNA from 1 species
GAUCAUGGCUCAGGAUGAACGCUGGCGGCGUGCCUAACACAUGCAAGUCGAGCGGUAUAUGCUGGAACGAAACUUCGGUCUAGAGAAGGCAUAGAGAGCGGCGGACGGGUGAGUAACGCGUAGGCAACCUGCCCCAUACAGAGGGAUAGCCUCGGGAAACCGGGAUUAAAACCUCAUAACGCGAGGAGUUCACAUGUUCUCCUCGCCAAAGAUUCAUCGGUAUGGGAUGGGCCUGCGUCUGAUUAGCUAGUUGGUGAGGUAACGGCUCACCAAGGCGACGAUCAGUAGCCGACCUGAGAGGGUAAUCGGCCACAUUGGAACUGAGACACGGUCCAAACUCCUACGGGAGGCAGCAGUGGGGAAUAUUGCACAAUGGGCGAAAGCCUGAUGCAGCAACGCCGCGUGAGCGAUGAAGGCCUUUGGGUCGUAAAGCUCUGUCCGUUGGGGAAGAAAAAAAUGACGGUACCCUUGGAGGAAGCCCCGGCUAACUACGUG